GAUGAACGCUGGCGGCGUGCCUAAUACAUGCAAGUCGAGCGAAUGGAUUAAGAGCUUGCUCUUAUGAAGUUAGCGGCGGACGGGUGAGUAACACGUGGGUAACCUGCCCAUAAGACUGGGAUAACUCCGGGAAACCGGGGCUAAUACCGGAUAACAUUUUGAACCGCAUGGUUCGAAAUUGAAAGGCGGCUUCGGCUGUCACUUAUGGAAGGACCCGCGUCGCAUUAGGUAGUUGGUGAGGUAACGGCUCACAAAGGCAACGAUGCGUAGCCGACCUGAGAGGGUGAUCGGCCACACUGGGACUGAGACACGGCCCAGACUCCUACGGGAGGCAGCAGUAGGGAAUCUUCCGCAAUGGACGAAAGUCUGACGGAGCAACGCCGCGUGAGUGAUGAAGGCUUUCGGGUCGUAAAACUCUGUUGUUAGGGAAGAACAAGUGCUAGUUGAAUAAGCUGGCACCUUGACGGUACCUAACCAGAAAGCCACGGCUAACUACGUGCCAGCCGCCGCCGUAA
rnacentral:rRNA from 1 species